UCCCUGGUGGUUCAGUGGCUAAAACUUUGUGCUUUGAAUGCAGGGGCCCAGGUUCAUUCCCUGGUCAGGGAA